rnacentral:lncRNA from 1 species
CGAGAAACACAAAUUGGUCAUGGGAAGAAUUUUAUCAAAUUAAAAUCAUUCAUUCAUUUUGGAAGAUGAAAUGUAUAUUUUAUCAAUCCCCUAAAUCAAAUGAUUUUAAUCCAACAAAUAGUCAAACAUCACAAGACCAUCAAAAUGAUUCAACAUAAUUUUUAAACAAUUAAUCAAUUAAAACUCAAAUUAAAAAUGCAUUUUAAUUCAAAUUAAUAUGGUCAAAACCUAAAAUCUCUUCAAAAC